CCUACGGGUGGCAGCAGUGGGGAAUAUUGGACAAUGGGGGCAACCCUGAUCCAGCAAUGCCGCGUGUGUGAAGAAGGCCUGAGGGUUGUAAAGCACUUUCAGUGGGGAGGAGGAUUGUUUGUUUAAGAGAUGAAUGAUUGGACGUUACCCACAGAAGAAGCACCGGCUAACUCCGUGCCAGCAGCCGCGGUAAUACGGAGGGUGCAAGCGUUAAUCGGAAUUACUGGGCGUAAAGAGUGCGUAGGUGGUUGAGUAAGUUAUCUGUGAAAUCCCUGGGCUUAACCUGGGCAGGUCAGAUAAUACUGCUUGACUCGAGUAUGGGAGAGGGUAGUGGAAUUUCCGGUGUAGCGGUGAAAUGCGUAGAGAUCGGAAGGAACACCAGUGGCGAAGGCGGCUACCUGGCCUAAUACUGACACUGAGGCACGAAAGCGUGGGGAGCA
rnacentral:rRNA from 1 species